GAUGAACGCUGGCGGCGUGCCUAAUACAUGCAAGUCGAGCGAACAGACGAGGAGCUUGCUCCUCUGACGUUAGCGGCGGACGGGUGAGUAACACGUGGAUAACCUACCUAUAAGACUGGGAUAACUUCGGGAAACCGGAGCUAAUACCGGAUAAUAUAUUGAACCGCAUGGUUCAAUAGUGAAAGACGGUUUUGCUGUCACUUAUAGAUGGAUCCGCGCCGCAUUAGCUAGUUGGUAAGGUAACGGCUUACCAAGGCAACGAUGCGUAGCCGACCUGAGAGGGUGAUCGGCCACACUGGAACUGAGACACGGUCCAGACUCAUACGGGAGGCAGCAGUAGGGAAUCUUCCGCAAUGGGCGAAAGCUUGACGGAGCAACGCCGCGUGAGUGAUGAAGGUCUUCGGAUCGUAAAACUCUGUUAUUAGGGAAGAACAAAUGUGUAAGUAACUAUGCACGUCUUGACGGUACCUAAUCAGAAAGCCACGGCUAACUACGUG
rnacentral:rRNA from 1 species